ACUCCUACGGGAGGCAGCAGUGGGGAAUUUUGGACAAUGGGCGCAAGCCUGAUCCAGCCAUUCCGCGUGAGUGAAGAAGGCCUUCGGGUUGUAAAGCUCUUUCAGCUGGAGUGAAACGGUGCGCUCUAACAUAGCGUGCUAAUGACGGUACCAGCAGAAGAAGCACCGGCUAACUACGUGCCAGCAGCCGCGGUAAU
rnacentral:rRNA from 1 species